CAAGCUGUUUGUGUGACGUG
rnacentral:misc_RNA from 1 species